UGGGGAAUUUUGGACAAUGGGCGAAAGCCUGAUCCAGCAAUGCCGCGUGUGUGAAGAAGGCCUUCGGGUUGUAAAGCACUUUUGUCCGGAAAGAAAUCCUUGGCUCUAAUACAGUCGGGGGAUGACGGUACCGGAAGAAUAAGCACCGGCUAACUACGUGCCAGCAGCCGCGGUAAUACGUAGGGUGCAAGCGUUAAUCGGAAUUACUGGGCGUAAAGCGUGCGCAGGCGGUUUGCUAAGACCGAUGUGAAAUCCCCGGGCUCAACCUGGGAACUGCAUUGGUGACUGGCAGGCUAGAGUAUAGCAGAGGGGGGUAGAAUUCCACGUGUAGCAGUGAAAUGCGUAGAGAUGUGGAGGAAUACCGAUGGCGAAGGCAGCCCCCUGGGCCAAUACUGACGCUCAUGCACGAAAGCGUGGGGAGCAAACAGGAUUAGAUACCCUGGUAGUCCACGCCCUAAACGAUGUCAACUAGUUGUUGGGGAUUCAUUUCCUUAGUAACGUAGCUAACGCGUGAAGUUGACCGCCUGGGGAGUACGGUCGCAAGAUUAAAACUUAAAGGAAUUGACGGGGUCAUAGCUGUUUCCU
rnacentral:rRNA from 1 species